AACGCGAAGAACCUUACCAAGGCUUGACAUGCAUCUCUAAGCGCGUGAAAGCGCGUGACCCUUCGGGGAAUUUGCACAGGUGCUGCAUGGCCGUCGUCAGCUCGUGUCGUGAGAUGUUGGGUUAAGUCCCGCAACGAGCGCAACCCCUGUGACUAGUUGCCAGCGAGUAAUGUCGGGGACUCUAGUCAGACUGCCCAGAUCAACUGGGAGGAAGGUGGGGACGACGUCAGGUCAGUAUGGCCCUUACGCCUUGGGCUGCACACGUACUACAAUGCCCAGCACAAUGAGAACCGAGACCGCGAGGUGGAGGAAAUCUGCAAAACUGGGCCCAGUUCGGAUUGGAGGCUGCAACUCGCCUCCAUGAAGCCGGAAUCGCUAGUAAUGCUGCAUCAGC
rnacentral:rRNA from 1 species